AGAGUUUGACUCCGUGGCUCAGGACGAACGCUGGCGGCGUGCUUAACACAUGCAAGUCGAACGGGGAUCACAUGAUUGAGAGCUUCGGCAGGAUUGAUUGUGAUUCCAGUGGCGGACGGGUGAGUAACGCGUGAGCAAUCUGUCCCAGACAGGGGGAUAACACUUGGAAACAGGUGCUAAUACCGCAUGAGACCACGGAAUCGCAUGGUUCUGAGGUAAAAGGAGCAAUCCGGUUUGGGGUGAGUUCGCGUCCGAUUAGAUAGUUGGUGAGGUAACGGCCCACCAAGUCGACGAUCGGUAGCCGACCUGAGAGGGUGAUCGGCCACAUUGGAACUGAGAGACGGUCCAAACUCC
rnacentral:rRNA from 1 species